rnacentral:rRNA from 1 species
GAUGAACGCUGGCGGCGUGCCUAAUACAUGCAAGUCGAGCGAACAGACGAGGAGCUUGCUCCUCUGACGUUAGCGGCGGACGGGUGAGUAACACGUGGAUAACCUACCUAUAAGACUGGGAUAACUUCGGGAAACCGGAGCUAAUACCGGAUAAUAUAUUGAACCGCAUGGUUCAAUAGUGAAAGACGGUUUUGCUGUCACUUAUAGAUGGAUCCGCGCCGCAUUAGCUAGUUGGUAAGGUAACGGCUUACCAAGGCUACGAUGCGUAGCCGAACUGAGAGGGUGAUCAGCCACACUGUAACUCAGACACGGCCCAGACUCCUACGGGACGCAGCAGUAGGGAAUCUUCCGCACUGGGCCAAAGCCUGACGCAGCAACGCCGCGUGAGUCAUGAAGGUCUUCGGAUCCUAACACUCUGUUAUUCGGGAAGACCAAAUGUGUAAGUAACUAUGCACGUAUUGACGGUACCUAAUCAGACAGCCACGGCUAACUACGUG